ACGGGUGAGUAACACGUGGGAACGUGCCCUUUGGUUCGGAACAACUCAGGGAAACUUGAGCUAAUACCGGAUGUGCCCUUCGGGGGAAAGAUUUAUCGCCAUUGGAGCGGCCCGCGUAGGAUUAGCUAGUUGGUGGGGUAAAGGCCCACCAAGGCGACGAUCCUUAGCUGGUCUGAGAGGAUGAUCAGCCACAUUGGGACUGAGACACGGCCCAAACUCCUACGGGAGGCAGCAGUGGGGAAUCUUGCGCAAUGGGCGAAAGCCUGACGCAGCCAUGCCGCGUGAAUGAUGAAGGUCUUAGGAUUGUAAAAUUCUUUCACCGGGGACGAUAAUGACGGUACCCGGAGAAGAAGCCCCGGCUAACUUCGUGCCAGCAGCCGCGGUAAUACGAAGGGGGCUAGCGUUGCUCGGAAUUACUGGGCGUAAAGGGAGCGUAGGCGGAUAGUUUAGUCAGAGGUGAAAGCCCAGGGCUCAACCUUGGAAUUGCCUUUGAUACUGGCUAUCUCGAGUACGGAAGAGGUAUGUGGAACUCCGAGUGUAGAGGUGAAAUUCGUAGA
rnacentral:rRNA from 1 species